CUCGGUCAGACCGCGCGUCCGGCCGCCAUCUCGGCGCCGUGGCGUGGAGAGUGGGGCAGAGACCUGAAGCGGCAGCCCCUUGGAGGGAGAGCGCCUCAGCUGGGUCCCUGAGGACGUGUCAGGCUCAGGGCGCCCCGUGAGCAGGUGGAAGGCCUCGGAUGCCAAACAGCUGUGCAGUUGCAGGGCUGCAAUUUGAGAAUUCUCGAGAGGGGGCAGAAUCUGAAGGUGCUGCUGCCUUGGCCCUGGAUCAAGCUGGUGACUGACAACUGUUAACCUUAGGAAAUAAAAAAUGAGUUAUUUCACCAGCAAAA